rnacentral:rRNA from 1 species
GCCAACAGCCAUACCAUGUUGAAUACACCGGUUCUCGUUGGAUCACCGAAGUUAAGCAACAUCGGGCCUCGAUAGUACUUGGAUGGGUGACCGCCUGGGAACAACGGGUGCUGUUGGCU